UUCAUUCACAGUUUGUUCUGUUCUUUCAUCAUCUCAUAAUUGGUGGGAGUGUAAAUGACAGCAAAAAAUAUGUAUGUGUGUGUGUCACUUUAAAUGUGUUGUGUGCGCGCACGCACGCUCUCUACGUAACGUAAGCUGUAACGCAGGUAGAAGAAAGAGGUGCGGACGAGGAGCACAUCGUGGUUCUCACAUGGUGUUUACAAAAGUUUGAAAUAUAUAUUGUAAAAGGUGGAUGCACUUUACGUUUUGGUUCAUUUAGUACCCUUUGGCAAGCGGAGCGAGUUUCACGGUGCUACAACACAACGUUUCUCGAAGUCACGGUUAAUGGCGCUCAAAGCGAGCGAAAUAAAGAAGAUUAAGCACCC